ensembl:lncRNA
UAUUUAGGGAAAUGAGUCAUCGUAUAGUUAGGGAUAGUGAGUGAUCAUCUAGUUAGGGAUAGUGAGUCAUCAUUAGUUAGGGAUAAUGAGUCAUCGUAUAGUUAGGGAUAGUGAGUGAUCAUCUAGUUAGGGAUAGUGAGUCAUCAUGCGUUAGGGAUAGUGAGUCAUCGUAUAGUUAGGGAUAGUGAGUGAUCAUCAAGUUAGGGAUAGUGAGUGAUCAUCAAGUUAGGGAUAGUGAGUCCUCAUUAGUUGGGGAUAGUGAGUCAUCAUUAGUUAGGGAUAGUGAGUCAUAAUUAGUUGGGGAUAGUGAGUCAUCAUUAGUUAGGGAUAUUGAGUCAUCAACAGCUAGGGAUGAGUGAUUGAUGGUGAUGGUGAAACAGAUUUAUGGUGAGUGAUGGUGAUAGGUAGCCUGGUCCUACCAGACCAUCGUACUUCAUUUCAUUUGUACAGAAGGUCUGGAACUGCUCAAUUGACAAGCGUUCACUCACUUGGAGGCGGGUGUCUGUAGAAGUUUUAAAAUGAUUGGAUCUGCCCAGUGCCACUCUGGAUCUGCCAUAACCAAUCGCAUCGCGUUUGGUCGUGACGUAUGUCAUGAGACGGGACCUGCCGCAAAACACGUUGUGCGCACGUGCAGGCUGUACACAAACAAAACAAGAUGAAGCGUGAAGAUGUAUCUGAACGAUAGCUGCAGGUUUUGUUUACCUGAUGUAAGAGUUCAAGGAACAGUUGUACAUUCUAAAUUAAUAUUCAACAGUAACGACAGCGAUAAUGUUUGUGGUCAACUGUUGACGCUGGGUCUUGUCAUUGACUGACUGACUGACUAACUGACUGACUACUCAUCUCUGACUACAACUGAAACUGGCGCGCGACCAAGACGUCAUCGUUCUCAGCCACUCCCUCUGUUCGCUGAUUGGACCGCCAGAAAUCGGGUUGACAUGGAACGCAUUUACAUUAAGCAGACCCAGACCUAGUACUGAAGUGAAAUGAAAAUUGAGCGGAGGUAGGUAGGUGGGCGGCGCCAGGCUAGGUGAUAGGAAUGAUGGUGAUAAGAAGUGAUGGUGAUAGUGAGUGAGUGAUAUGAUGGUGACAGUGGCCCUCAUUUAUCAAACGAGCGUACGACAGAAAACGUGCGUAAAAUGGACGUACGCUCAUUUCAACGUUGAGCUUGGCAUUUAUCAAUUUGAACGUGAGCGCAGGCUGCGAUGAAAUCUCACGUCAGGUCUGAACUCGUGUACGCAAGUUUUUUUGGCGCAACAUACGGGUAUUUCAAUGAUGAAUAGUGCGGCACAAGUAGCCCAUGUUCAACAUCUGUAUUAAUUACUAUAUAAAUUGGAAUUAGCCCAGCCGUUCAAACAAUUACAAUCAAGUCAGGCCUAAUUAAAAACAGUAUUGCUAUGAAAAUAAUUAGAAUGUGACAGGUGAAAUGUUUAUUCAGCUGUCUAUAUUAACAGGAGCUUUGCCAAAUAGGUGGUCGUGUCUCAGCGAUGGCAGAUCUGGCUCUGUUAAGGACCUCAACGCACAGACGAGAGAGUUUGUCGAGACCGCGCCGAUUUUUUUAAGGAGGGCGAUGAAUGGCUCUUGAGUCGUUUUCGUCUCCCUAGGCAUCUCCUGAUGGAGCUAUGCAAUGCUUUGGAGCCACAGCUAAGGCGAGAAACAAGGCGAUCAAACGCAAUACCUGUGCAAUUUUGCUCUACCUUGGGAUUUUUGGCCACCGGGAUCUUGCAGCGGGAGAUCGGGGACAGGUCUGCUAUUUCCCAGCCAAGUAUUAGCCGAACCAUGCCAGCAGUUUUGGCAGCUAUAAUGUCCCUCUCCGAACGUUAUAUUAAAUUCCCAUAUAAUAACGAUCAGCAAACUGGAAUCAAACG